AGUGAACGCUGGCGGUAGGCCUAACACAUGCAUGUCGAACGGCAGCACAGUAAGAGCUUGCUCUUACGGGUGGCGAGUGGCGGACGGGUGAGGAAUACAUCGGAAUCUACUUUUUCGUGGGGGAUAACGUAGGGAAACUUACGCUAAUACCGCAUACGACCUACGGGUGAAAGCAGGGGAUCUUCGGACCUUGCGCGAUUGAAUGAGCCGAUGUCGGAUUAGCUAGUUGGCGGGGUAAAGGCCCACCAAGGCGACGAUCCGUAGCUGGUCUGAGAGGAUGAUCAGCCACACUGGAACUGAGACACGGUCCAGACUCCUACGGGAGGCAGCAGUGGGGAAUGUUGGACAAUGGGCGCAAGCCUGAUCCAGCCAUACCGAGUGGGUGAAGAAGGCCUUCGGGUUGUAAAGCCCUUUUGUUGGGAAAGAAAAGCAGCAGGUUAAUACCCCGCUGUUCUGACGGUACCCAAAGAAUAAGCACCGGCUAACUUCGUG
rnacentral:rRNA from 1 species